GCUAAGCCCUAAACAUUGAUUAGUUAUAUACAACACUCUCCGCCAGAGAACUACAAGUGAAAAACUUGAAACUCAAAGGACUUGACGGUAUCCCAUAUCGACCUAGAGGAGCCUGUCCUAUAAUCGAUACCCCUCGCUUCACCCCACCCUAACUAGCACACAUUAUCAGCCUAUAUACCGCCGUCGAUCAGCUACCCUAUGAAGGUCUAAUAGUAGACACAAUAGCCCAACCGUAAUACGUCAGGUCAAGGUGUAGCAAAUGUUAGGGAAGAGAUUGGCUACAUUUUUUAUGAUAAAAAACACGAAAGUAUUAUGAAACAAUACAUGAAGGUGAAUUUAGUAGUAAAAUAGAUAAGAGAGUCUAUUUUAACAACGCUCUGGGAUGCGUAC
rnacentral:rRNA from 1 species